ACACAAGGCGUGUGUGGUUCGACUUCAUGCGCUGCGGAGACCGACCGUAUGACGUCAGAAUACCGCGAGAGCUGUGAUUUCGAAUCGCUCUCGUGGUACUUGGAUGUCAUGCACACCAACCGUCCUGCGCACUGUGCGCAGCAUCACAUAAGAGUGCACCCGUUGGAUCCGGAAGAUAACGAUAAAGCAAAGAUAACAUCUAUUACUGAUUCCUGUUAGUCAGUAAAGGCUCUUCCUGUGCUGGAAACUGAGGCACAACUCUUGUUUCUGUGCAGCUUUGAAGCCAACUUGGAGAGACCUCUGGUUCUCAAGUGGCAACUCAAUCUGGGACACCGACCUCACUGAAGACAGACGGCUAUGCCGGCUCGCUGUGCGCUCUCGUAUUACGUUUGGUUUGCCCAGAACGCUUCUUAGCUGGACCCAGAAGUAGUACUG